GAUGAAGAACGUAGCGAAAUGCGAUACGUAAUGUGAAUUGCAGAAUUCAGUGAAUCAUCGAGUCUUUGAACGCACAUUGCGCCCCCUGGUAUUCCGGGGGGCAUGCCUGUCCGAGCGUCAUUGCUGCCCUCAAGCACGGCUUGUGUGUUGGGCCUCCGUCCUCCUCCCGGGGGACGGGCCCGAAAGGCAGCGGCGGCACCGCGUCCGGUCCUCGAGCGUAUGGGGCUUCGUCACCCGCUCUUGUAGGCCCGGCCGGCGCUUGCCGACACAUCAAUCUUUUUUCCAGGUUGACCUCGGAUCAGGUAGGGAUACCCGCUGAACUUAAGCAUAUCAAUAAGCGGAGA
rnacentral:misc_RNA from 1 species